rnacentral:rRNA from 1 species
AACGAACGCUGGCGGCAUGCGUAACACAUGCAAGUCGAACGAGACCUUCGGGUCUAGUGGCGCACGGGUGCGUAACGCGUGGGAAUCUGCCCUUGGGUUCGGAAUAACAGUUGGAAACGACUGCUAAUACCGGAUGAUGACGUAAGUCCAAAGAUUUAUCGCCCAAGGAUGAGCCCGCGUAGGAUUAGCUAGUUGGUGAGGUAAAGGCUCACCAAGGCGACGAUCCUUAGCUGGUCUGAGAGGAUGAUCAGCCACACUGGGACUGAGACACGGCCCAGACUCCUACGGGAGGCAGCAGUGGGGAAUAUUGGACAAUGGGCGAAAGCCUGAUCCAGCAAUGCUGCGUGAGUGAUGAAGGCCUUAGGGUUGUAAAGCUCUUUUACCCGGGAUGAUAAUGACAGUACCGGGAGAAUAAGCUCCGGCUAACUCCGUG